UCUCUCUUCUGGUCUGCGUAUGUUCAGGCGAUAAAACUAGGGUUUAGAUAACUUUCAAUCAUCGAUCGUAUUAGCCGAGAAACAUCACAAAAAUCUCUUUAAUCUUCUCAAUACCUUUCAAUCAUCGAUCUGUGUUGUCUUGUAUGAUUAGGUGUCCCUGGAUUUCAGUUGGCGGACUACGAAGACUGAGGUUUGAGUAGCUGGAGUUGAUGUGGGAAUUUAUAUUACUCUUUUGCAACCAUUAAUGUCUCUUUUACAAAAUUACGUUUAUGCUUUUCAGAGAUUUUGUCAUAUAUGUCUCUUAAUCUAGAUUUUGUCUCAUAUAUGUCUCUUUUGAACAAGAAUUCCAGCACGAUAUUCGAUUUCGCAGUUAAGAUUAUUUAAUUUGAAGUGUGCCAGCUUGUGUAUCAACUGUCCUGCACUUUGGAAGUUUUGUUUUCAAGAAGUAUGACAACUUACAACUUGUUUUGGCCUUAGUUUCUCAUGUAGGGUUUACAGCACAUUGAAUUACCAAUCUAUAGAGAUUUUUGUUUGAUUUUAGAGUCUAUCAUGAAAUCUGGAAUUUACUCGUAACUCCAGUGAGUAGGCAUCUUUAUGGUCUUUAUAGGUAUGCUAGAGCUUGACUUAGUACAUGUUGUCUUAACGAAAAUUAUAGAGGAGUUUGCUAUCUUUCUAAAGAGCUAUUGGGUGUUUAAUCUGAAUCAAGGGUGAUUAUUUUAUACACCCCGAACCCUAGACCCUCGUGCUGUUUACAAGAGCGUUAGAGAUUGAAAGUGAAGUGAGUUAUAAUCAAACUGCAUUGUGCAGGUCUUACUCCAUAUACAUGGCUGCAUUUGCGUGCGUUGAUUUUCUUUGAUGGACAUCAUUAGCUUCACUUAAUAGAUGUUUACAUACUAUCUUGUUGUUUUAUAUCCUCAGAAGUUUUGGAGCUUCUGAGACCAUCUGCUAGAUAUACAGUGUCAAAAGAUGCUGGCGAUUUCAGUGAUCGUGAAAAAGGUAGAUAUACCCUGAUCAAAGAUUCAGAUGACCACCCUCUAGGAUUGUAUGAUAAAACUCUUCCGUGUUUUGGCUGUGGGAUUGGAUGGUUCUCGAUUGCAUUUAUCAGUUGGCUCGAACGUGCCCAGCACCUCAAGAGAUGUAGCCUCGCAUACUCCAUGCGGUGUUUCUGCUUCACCUAAAAUAGGUUCACAUGCUGCGACAAGUUCACCUGUUGGGAAUACUGUAUCACCAGCUGCGACAAGUUCACCUGUUGGGAAUACUCAAUCACCAGCUUCAUCAAGAGUACGUGGUUUUCCGCUUUGUUCAUUACUGGACUACGAGGGUGAAGUAAGUGCAACUGGUGAGCUAUGUACUGGUUCUUUAUCUAAUCAGUUUCAUGGAGAUCCUAUACCUAUACAUCUUUCCAAGGUAUGUAUCGAUGAUAUUCUUAAGCCAGAUGCAAACAUUAUGAGAUCUAACAAGUAUGCAGCGACCUUCAGAGAUGUUGGAAUUGUCCUGUGCAAUUAUUUACUAUAUUUAUGUUAUUGACUCAUUGUCCUGUAGUUUUAGCACUCAUUGUCUGCAUUUUAUUUGUAAUUGACUUUGUAAUUGCAGACUUUGCGAGUUGCCUGGCUCAGAUGACGAUAAUUUUUAUGAGAAGCUUCUAGUAUCUGGUCUCAAAGUGGAUGGGCUAGAAUGACAAUCUUGUUUCCAACCUUUUCCAGUGGAUUGCCUACUGCCUACAUCGAGUUUUUUGAUGCCCAAUCUUUCAACAAACCAAGCCUGCAAAGGAUAUAUAACUUAGUUGUGGUUAGUCGAAUGAUGCUCUAUUUGAUCAGAAAGGGUGGAGAACAAAGCAUCUUCAAGAUUUGUAAGUUGCAGUUAUUCAAGUUUUGUAAGCAGUUAGUAAGUUUCUGUUUUCCGUUAGAAAUGUGGAACCUUCCAUGUAUUCCCUUAGAAAUCUGAUACUUGACAAAAAAAAAAAAUUUGGUAGUUAGAGA